UCUUCUAUCUUUACUUCUUUCUUUCCAAGCUCUACUCCCCCAAUUCCAAAACCCAAUUUUCUCCUCAAUCCCAGACCCUCUACCAGAUGAUGUCCGACGAGAAACAUUGGGAUUCCAAAUUCUCCGAUCGGAAUCUCCACCAGAAAGUCCACAAGCUCCUCGAAUCGGCGCCGUUUCGGAACCCCAGUUGGGGAGGGCUAGUUUCUGGUGAUGUAAAGCUCACGGUGGUGGCCAAGGACUGGUUUUGUUAACUGCUCCGUUGCAGGGAAACUUCCAUAUCCAGAAGAGUCGCUGCUCUGCUUGUGCAUACCCAGCUGUCCGCACCAGGAAAUUCAAUUGGAGUGUGAAGGCCAUCAGGAGGAAGACCACCGGGACUGGAAGGAUGUGGUAUCUGUGCAAUGUCCCACGCAGGUUUAAGAGCGGUUUCAGGGAAGGUGCUGAUCCUUUUAGUUUUAUACUCCUUGAUGUAUAGUUGUGAGCUAAUCGGUGUAUACGUUGGUUUUAUUCUUGAGAGAUUAAUUGGUUUGUUUGAACAGGUUGGAUUCAGUGAUCUGUGACUUUGGAUCUGGUUGGAAAGCCACUGAUUGCAUAGUGAGAUUACAUCCUCUUUAGAUUAGGAUGUAUUAGGUUCCUACCACAUUGUUAUUGGAGAAGGCUUACUCAAGGAAUUUUUGCCUUCAUAGCCUUGUGCUUUCAAAGUAUAAUCCCAACACAUGCUCAAGUGAUUUUGUUUCUUUCUCAUGAAGUCUCCUGCAUCAUAAUUGAUUUGCUGCAACCUUGGAAG